rnacentral:tRNA from 1 species
UGGGGCGUGGCUCAGUGGGGGAGCCCUUGCCUGGCGUGCGGGAGGCCCUGGGUUCCAUCCCCAGCACUGCAA